rnacentral:rRNA from 1 species
UACGUAGGGUGCGAGCGUUGUCCGGAAUUACUGGGCGUAAAGAGCUCGUAGGUGGUUUGUCGCGUUGUCCGUGAAAACUCACAACUCAAUUGUGGGCGUGCGGGCGAUACGGGCAGACUGGAGUACUGCAGGGGAGACUGGAAUUCCUGGUGUAGCGGUGGAAUGCGCAGAUAUCAGGAGGAACACCGGUGGCGAAGGCGGGUCUCUGGGCAUCUACUGACGCUGAGGUGCGAGAGCGUGGGGAGCGAACCGG